GGAUGUGUGGUUCAGUGGGGAGUGCUUACCCAGCAUGCCUAAGGCCCUGGGUUCCAUUCCCAGCACAACCA
rnacentral:tRNA from 1 species